UGUGCUGAAGCAGAGGAGAGCCAGAAGAGCAAAUGAGACAAGGCAGCAAAUACUGCAGCAUGGGCAGGUCUGUGUGAAUAUCUACAGGAAGAGAAAACCCACCUGGUUCUCCCAUCUGGCUGUGUUUGAUACGGAGCUAGGAAGAGUGGUUGUUAAGUAUAAUCUGGGAUAAAAGUGCUCUUAAAAUUUUCUUGUCUUAAAUCUGUUCCAAAGAUCAGAAAAAAACCUACCAGAUGUCAAUUUUGAUAAAGUUAAGGAAAAAUUGUGGUUCGGGUACUAUUUGAUGAAAUAUGCUUCUACAUCUGUUAAAUAAAAUUAAUUCUUUAAUUAGCUGCAGUAAGAGAAGCUUUUAAAAAGACACAAAGUCCAAUUUGAGCCACUGAAAUGAAAGAAACUUCAAAAAUUUAAAGUAUGUUGCAUUCUUCCUGCAGUUUUACUUGUAUCUUCGUAUUUUUGAUUCAUCUUGUUAUUCUGGGCUAAAGGGUUCAUGGGCCUAGAAAGCUGUAAGCAAGGAGAGAGCAGCUGGGGGAAAAGGAGGCUCUCCAGAGGAUUUGUAGGAAGAUGGAUUUUGUGACAUCCAGGUUGUUGUGGAGAGCUGCUUUAUCUCCCCACUGCACCCCCUGACACCAGGGCUUUGUGUGCUAAGUCCAGCAACCAAAUUUCUGCCCCAGUCACAAAGUGUUGGCUUCCUCUGGGGACACUUUGUGGCUUCUGCAAAAACACAUCUUGAAAGCAUUUUUCUUUCAUUUUGAUGAGGAGUGGGAAUACUUUGAAAUCUCAGAAAAUGCUCAGGUUAAAUCAUACCCCACUGAGGUAGCACCUUAUCAAACAGCACAGCAAGGACAUGCCCUUUAUUUAGGCAAGUGGAAUCUUUCCUGAGCUGUCCUUCUCUGUACAUCAGAGCAGAGCUGAAUCUCUCCAGGUAAAAUGGAAAUAAUUUCCUCUUGACACAAGUUUAUCCUGAUGUAAGGCUUAAUUGAUAGCUUGCAGGGCACUUGUGUUUUCCAGGCUGUUGGUUUUGCUUUAAGCACAAAUUUACUCAGUGAUGUGAAUAUUUUGACAACUCUGCCUAUCUGUGCUCAGGAACUGCAGUUUGGUGUGAAUUUCCAGGGUGUGUUGACCCAGUUUUAAAGCCUAAAAUGAGCAUGCUCUAGACUGAUAUGGAAAUACUGUAGUUGGCAAAAUAAAACAAAGAAAUGGUAAAUAAUCAGAAGUAGACUACAUUCUGCACAAGAACUUUUAGGGGAGUUUUGCUUAGCUGGCAGAGGCGUGUUUUUGUCCUUAGACUUUCUCCAGAAGGUAAUUUUUAAAAAAUGGUGCAAUUCAGCUUGAAGAAACUUGUCAUUCUGACCCACUUGCAUGUCCUCAUGGAUACCUCUCUUCAGCAAAUCUCUGCCUAGCUGUAAACACACAAAAAUCAACAUGUCAAAUCAAAGAGAAUUAGUUUUCACAUGUUACUUCAUUAUUCUUUUGCCAUCCCAAGUCUAAUAAAUGUCUCAUUUAGAAUUCUCUCUCACUCAUAUUUGUGGUGUUUAUUUUUAUGUGCUUAUGAAAGCUUAUUUUUAGGCAACUCAAGGCUCAUUCUUUAAGAAUAAAGAAAUCCUUUUUGAUUUUAUGUGGUGUUGUGUGAGCAGAGCUGGGAAGCCUGUGAUUGUUUUCUUUAGAUUAUGUAAUGAAUUAUCUUCUUCCAAAAUAUUAUGCUCUGGGGACUGAUCACAGGAAGCAUGAGAGAGCAUUUGGGAAAAUUACCAGAUCUCUGCAAUACAUGCAUGUGGGGUUUUUUUGUGUAUAGAACAGGAUUUUAAGAAGGAGUGUUUGAACCAUUUUGCUACAAACUCUCCUGACAUUGUAUUUGUGCUAUCCAUACAGUCA